rnacentral:misc_RNA from 1 species
AACUUGAAUUUCCUCAAUUUCUCUAAUAACAAGCUCGCAGGCAAACUUGAAACCACUCCCAUAUCUUGCAAGAGUCUCUCAGUUUUAGACCUCUCAUAUAAUUUGCUAUCUGGGGAGAUACCACCCAGCUUUGUUGCAGACUCUCCACCGUCUCUCAAGCAUCUGGAUCUAUCCCACAAUAACUUCUCUGGUAACCUUUCCAGUCUUGAUUUUGGGCGCUGCAGCAACCUCAGUUUGUUCAGUUUGUCACAGAACAGGCUUUCCGGCACCGUCUUCCCAAUUAGUCUGAACAACUGUGAGGUUUUGGAGACCCUUGACCUCUCCCAUAAUGAGCUGCAACUCAAGAUACCUGGUGCUGCACUGGGAAGGUUCAAAAAAUUGAAGCAGCUGUCUCUAGCUGACAAUCUGUUCUUUGGUGAUAUUCCUCCUGAGUUGGGACAGGCCUGUGGAACUCUGCAGGAGCUGGAUCUAUCA